GGUUAAGUUAGAAAGGGCGCACGGUGGAUGCCUUGACACUAGGAGUCGAUGAAGGACGGGACUAACGCCGAUAUGCUUCGGGGAGCUGUAAGUAAGCUUUGAUCCGAAGAUUUCCGAAUGGGGAAACCCACCAUACGUAAUGGUAUGGUAUCCUUAUCUGAAUACAUAGGGUAAGGAAGACAGACCCAGGGAACUGAAACAUCUAAGUACCUGGAGGAAGAGAAAGCAAAUGCGAUUUCCUGAGUAGCGGCGAGCGAAACGGAACAUAGCCCAAACCAAGAGGCUUGCCUCUUGGGGUUGUAGGACAUUCUAUACGGAGUUACAAAGGAACGAGGUAGACGAAGCGACCUGGAAAGGUCCGUCGUAGAGGGUAACAACCCCGUAGUCGAAACUUCGUUCUCUCUUGAAUGUAUCCUGAGUACGGCGGAACACGUGAAAUUCCGUCGGAAUCUGGGAGGACCAUCUCCCAAGGCUAAAUACUCCCUAGUGAUCGAUAGUGAACCAGUACCGUGAGGGAAAGGUGAAAAGCACCCCGGAAGGGGAGUGAAAGAGAUCCUGAAACCGUGUGCCUACAAAUAGUCAGAGCCCGUUAACGGGUGAUGGCGUGCCUUUUGUAGAAUGAACCGGCGAGUUACGAUCCCGUGCGAGGUUAAGCUGAAGAGGCGGAGCCGCAGCGAAAGCGAGUCUGAAUAGGGCGUUUAGUACGUGGUCGUAGACCCGAAACCAGGUGAUCUACCCAUGUCCAGGGUGAAGUUCAGGUAACACUGAAUGGAGGCCCGAACCCACGCACGUUGAAAAGUGCGGGGAUGAGGUGUGGGUAGCGGAGAAAUUCCAAUCGAACCUGGAGAUAGCUGGUUCUCCCCGAAAUAGCUUUAGGGCUAGCCUUAAGUGUAAGAGUCUUGGAGGUAGAGCACUGAUUGGACUAGGGGUCCUCAUCGGAUUACCGAAUUCAGUCAAACUCCGAAUGCCAAUGACUUAUCCUUAGGAGUCAGACUGCGAGUGAUAAGAUCCGUAGUCAAAAGGGAAACAGCCCAGACCGCCAGCUAAGGUCCCAAAGUGUGUAUUAAGUGGAAAAGGAUGUGGAGUUGCUUAGACAACUAGGAUGUUGGCUUAGAAGCAGCCACCAUUUAAAGAGUGCGUAAUAGCUCACUAGUCGAGUGACUCUGCGCCGAAAAUGUACCGGGGCUAAAUACACCACCGAAGCUGCGGAUUGAUACCAAUGGUAUCAGUGGUAGGGGAGCGUUCUAAGGACAGUGAAGUCAGACCGUAAGGACUGGUGGAGUGCUUAGAAGUGAGAAUGCCGGUAUGAGUAGCGAAAGACGGGUGAGAAUCCCGUCCACCGAAUGCCUAAGGUUUCCUGAGGAAGGCUCGUCCGCUCAGGGUUAGUCAGGACCUAAGCCGAGGCCGACAGGCGUAGGCGAUGGACAACAGGUUGAUAUUCCUGUACCACCUCUUUAUCGUUUGAGCAAUGGAGGGACGCAGAAGGAUAGAAGAAGCGUGCGAUUGGUUGUGCACGUCCAAGCAGUUAGGCUGAUAAGUAGGCAAAUCCGCUUAUCGUAAAGGCUGAGCUGUGAUGGGGAAGCUCCUUAUGGAGCGAAGUCUUUGAUUCCCCGCUGCCAAGAAAAGCUUCUAGCGAGAUAAAAGGUGCCUGUACCGCAAACCGACACAGGUAGGCGAGGAGAGAAUCCUAAGGUGUGCGAGAGAACUCUGGUUAAGGAACUCGGCAAAAUGACCCCGUAACUUCGGGAGAAGGGGUGCUUUCUUAACGGAAAGCCGCAGUGAAUAGGCCCAAGCGACUGUUUAGCAAAAACACAGCUCUCUGCGAAGCCGUAAGGCGAAGUAUAGGGGGUGACACCUGCCCGGUGCUGGAAGGUUAAGGAGAGGGGUUAGCGUAAGCGAAGCUCUGAACUGAAGCCCCAGUAAACGGCGGCCGUAACUAUAACGGUCCUAAGGUAGCGAAAUUCCUUGUCGGGUAAGUUCCGACCCGCACGAAAGGUGUAACGAUUUGGGCACUGUCUCAACCAGAGACUCGGUGAAAUUAUAGUACCUGUGAAGAUGCAGGUUACCCGCGACAGGACGGAAAGACCCCGUGGAGCUUUACUGUAGCCUGAUAUUGAAUUUUGGUACAGUUUGUACAGGAUAGGCGGGAGCCAUUGAAACCGGAGCGCUAGCUUCGGUGGAGGCGCUGGUGGGAUACCGCCCUGACUGUAUUGAAAUUCUAACCUACGGGUCUUAUCGACCCGGGAGACAGUGUCAGGUGGGCAGUUUGACUGGGGCGGUCGCCUCCUAAAGUGUAACAGAGGCGCCCAAAGGUUCCCUCAGAAUGGUUGGAAAUCAUUCGUAGAGUGCAAAGGCAUAAGGGAGCUUGACUGCGAGACCUACAAGUCGAGCAGGGACGAAAGUCGGGCUUAGUGAUCCGGUGGUUCCGCAUGGAAGGGCCAUCGCUCAACGGAUAAAAGCUACCCCGGGGAUAACAGGCUUAUCUCCCCCAAGAGUCCACAUCGACGGGGAGGUUUGGCACCUCGAUGUCGGCUCAUCGCAUCCUGGGGCUGUAGUCGGUCCCAAGGGUUGGGCUGUUCGCCCAUUAAAGCGGUACGCGAGCUGGGUUCAGAACGUCGUGAGACAGUUCGGUCCCUAUCCGUCGUGGGCGUAGGAAAUUUGAGAGGAGCUGUCCUUAGUACGAGAGGACCGGGAUGGACGCACCGCUGGUGUACCAGUUGUUCUGCCAAGGGCAUAGCUGGGUAGCUAUGUGCGGAAGGGAUAAGUGCUGAAAGCAUCUAAGCAUGAAGCCCCCCUCAAGAUGAGAUUUCCCAUAGCGUAAGCUAGUAAGAUCCCUGAAAGAUGAUCAGGUUGAUAGGUUCGAGGUGGAAGCAUGGUGACAUGUGGAGCUGACGAAUACUAAUAGAUCGAGGACUUAACCAU
rnacentral:rRNA from 1 species